rnacentral:rRNA from 1 species
UACGAAGGGGGCUAGCGUUGCUCGGAAUCACUGGGCGUAAAGGGUGCGUAGGCGGGUCUUUAAGUCAGGGGUGAAAUCCUGGAGCUCAACUCCAGAACUGCCUUUGAUACUGAAGAUCUUGAGUUCGGGAGAGGUGAGUGGAAAUGCGAGUGUAGAGGUGAAAUUCGUAGAUAUUCGCAAGAACACCAGUGGCGAAGGCGGCUCACUGGCCCGAUACUGACGCUGAGGCACGAAAGCGUGGGGAGCAAACAGG